ensembl:lncRNA
UAGAAGUAGACAAGUAGCAGACGGGACCAUUUAAUAAAUAACAGUUAUGUGCAUAUGCUCAUAUUCCACACAAGAACACACACAAAAAAAUAUGAUGAACAUCACCAUAGUGCAAAAACAAUACAAGAUAGUUUGCUUAUAGUGUUUGGCUUGGCAAUAAGAACAAAUUUAUCAAAUUUCUGUGAAUUCUAUUUUAGUGUUCUAACAUUUGACAUUUCAUUUAUCAGGUGCGGUCAGCAAUGGCAUCAUGGUCACAACCUUCCAGAAGUAGGACAGGGAGCACAAGUGCUGGAAACUCAUCGUCAAGUGGACUUCGAUUUUUAAGGAACUGGAGACGUGGAAGACGUGGAAGAGAUGGCUAUAACAUGACAUCCAGUGGAUCCAGUGAUCUACAUUCAGCUAGCAACACAUAAUGAAUGCAGGAAUCUGUGGUUAUUCAGAUAACCAACAAGUCGGCUUCCCCCCCCCCCCCCCCUCCCCUCUUUUUUGCCAUAUUUACAAUAAGUUAAUCUGUGAUGGUUUUAUUUAUAUAUUAAAUAAUAUUGAAUCCUACAAGAAUCUGGCUUGAUUUUGAAGAAAAUUUAAUUAAGAAAAACGUAUGUGAUUGCUACAAUAUUUUUGAAUGGCAUAAUAAAUUUUGGAAUUGUAA